rnacentral:rRNA from 1 species
AACCGGAGCUUCGGCUCCGGGGACAGCGGCGAACGGGUGAGUAACACGUGGGUAAUCUACCCUCGGUUCUGGGAUAGCCCGGGGAAACUCGGAUUAAUACCGGAUAGCCUCUCCGGCUUUAGGGCUGGUGAGAAAAGGUAGCUUCGGCCUCCGACUGAGGAUGAGCCCGCGGCGGAUUAGCUUGUUGGCGGGGUAACGGCCCACCAAGGCGACGAUCCGUAGCUGGUCUGAGAGGACGAUCAGCCACACUGGGACUGAGACACGGCCCAGACUCCUACGGGAAGCAGCAGUGGGGAAUCUUGCGCAAUGGGCGAAAGCCUGACGCAGCGACGCCGCGUGGGGGAAGAAGGCCUUCGGGUUGUAAACCUCUUUCAGGUGGGACGAAGCCACUCGGGUUAAUAGCCCAGAGGGUGACGGUACCGCCAGAAGAAGCCCCGGCUAACUACGUGCCAGCAGCCGCGGUAAUACGUAGGGGGCAAGCGUUGUCCGGAUUUAUUGGGCGUAAAGAGCGUGUAGGCGGCCAGGUAGGUCGGUUGUGAAAACUGGAGGCUUAACCUCCAGACGUCGACCGAAACCCCCUGGCUAGAGUCCGGAAGAGGAGAGUGGAAUUCCUGGUGUAGCGGUGAAAUGCGCAGAUAUCAGGAAGAACACCCGUGGCGAAAGCGGCUCUCUGGGACGGUACUGACGCUGAGACGCGAAAGCGUGGGGAGCGAACAGGAUUAGAUACCCUGGUAGUCCACGCCGUAAACGAUGGGUGCUAGGUGUGGGAGGUGUCGACUCCUCCCGUGCCGCAGCUAACGCA